AAUUAGGUGCCUGAUUAAAGGAUUAUUUUGAUAGAAUAAAAAAUGUAAAAUUACUCUAAUUA
rnacentral:tRNA from 1 species